rnacentral:rRNA from 1 species
UACGUAGGGGGCAAGCGUUGGUCCGGAAUCAUUGGGCGUAAAGAGCGUGUAGGCGGCUCGAUAAGUCUGCUGUGAAAGUCCAGGGCUCAACCCUGGAAGGCCGGUGGAAACUGUCGGGCUAGAGUCCGGAAGAGGCGAGUGGAAUUCCCGGUGUAGUGGUGGAAUGCGUAGAUAUCGGGAGGAACACCAGUGGCGAAGGCGGCUCUCUGGACCUCUGCUGACGCUGAGGCGCGAAAGCGUGGGGAGCGAUCCGG